AUAAAUCAGAGCCUGCCACACCCCAAUUCCUGGAGUGGAGAGGGGUACCGUACCAUCCCGUCUGGGCUGGGGUAAGGGGCUGGUAGGUCAGAGAUGAGCUUGUAGAAGCCUGAGUGCCUUGGCGCUUUCUGCAGCAGACCAGGGCUCUGAGCAACUGCUGCCUUUGGUCUGGGGCUCCACCCAGUCCAGCUCUAAGAGCAAAUGAUGGGCCCAGGAGACAAGGCAAGCAGAGGACCAGCACGAACCUUGCACAGGGAGCUGGCGGCAGAGCUGUGCCUUUGAGACAGCUGUGGUAGGGGCUGGGCAGAGCAGGGGAGGUUCUGAGCCCAGAGAGACAGAAAUGAAGUUUCUGUCUCCAUCUGCCCCUUUUGCUUAAGCCCCCAGAUCACUACCAGAAGGCCUUAGAAGAGAGGGGGCCAGAAAGCUAGGAGGGCUCUGUUAGUGUGGACUGAGGGAGGCCAGCCUGUGAGAGGGAUACAGCAAGGCAAAGGCAGAGAAGGUUUCAUUCCUAGUGGGGAGGAGCCAGGCUGGGAGCUCUUGGAGGAGAAAGAGGAGAAGACGUCACAGCUGUCUUGCAGUGAGGAGCUACCUAAGUAUUCUCCUGCUACCAUGCCUCCACAAGAAAAUCAACUUUGUCACAAGCCUGAAAGCAUUGGAACCAGCUGGCCAAAACUCGAUUUUCUCAGGAGAGGGAAAAAUCAUCAUUACAAGGACACAUUCCUCCCCGACCGACCGCUGGCACUUUGCUCUUCAAUUCUCC
ensembl:lncRNA LOC102546594 uncharacterized LOC102546594